rnacentral:rRNA from 1 species
UACGUAGGGUGCAAGCGUUGUCCGGAAUUAUUGGGCGUAAAGAGCUCGUAGGCGGUUUGUCGCGUCGAAUGUGAAAACCCGGGGCUCAACUCCGAGCUUGCAUUCGAUACGGGCAGGCUAGAGUUCGGUAGGGGAGACUGGAAUUCCUGGUGUAGCGGUGAAAUGCGCAGAUAUCAGGAGGAACACCGGUGGCGAAGGCGGGUCUCUGGGCCGAUACUGACGCUGAGGAGCGAAAGCGUGGGGAGCGAACAGG